rnacentral:lncRNA from 1 species
CAACAAGGACUGCCUGAUCGACAAGAGACAGCGGAACCGGUGUCAGUACUGCCGAUACCAGAAGUGCCUGGCCAUGGGCAUGAAGCGGGAAGCCGUGCAGGAGGAGCGGCAGCGAGGCAAGGACCGGAACGAGAAUGAGGUGGAGUCCACCAGCAGUGCCAACGAGGACAUGCCUGUAGAGAAGAUUCUGGAAGCUGAGCUCGCUGUUGAGCCCAAGACUGAGACAUACGUGGAGGCAAACAUGGGGCUGAACCCCAGCUCAGUGAGUGUCAAGAUGCUCACCUGCCUCAGUUUCCCCUUGUGCUUACCCUCCUGCUUGAACAGCCAGCGAACCCGAGCCCUUUGGCUGCUGUGGCGUUUGUCCCCACCAGUGGGACCUCUGUCCAGCUGGUGACCCUGUGACUGGGGGGAAUAUACCAACCUUCCUGCUGGCCUUGCCUGUCUGCCUCAUCCAGAUACUCAGCAGGGUCCAGCCCAGGACCAACUGCCAUUGUGGGUCUUGGCUUACACGCACAGUGGGGCUUGAGCUCAGUGCAGGGGAAUCCUGCAGAGAAGCUAUGAGCAGCUGAACCCGGGCAGAGCAGCAGUCGCUGGGCUCCAGGCUGGCUCUCACCAGAGUACGGUCACAGGGAGACAGACGUUCUGGACCUCCCUCUCCUACCCACUGCUAUGAGGAGGUGGAGAAGCCAACAGGGAGGUGCUGAAGCAGAAAUGUCUCUUGGCCCUUCA